AUGGGCCACGAAGUUUCAGUCGCACUGUACGUGCGCGCCUGCACAUAGUAUUUUGUGGAAGAGUCACACUCAAGGGGCCAAAGACCCGCAUGUGGCUUGUGAGUUUGCCAAUCACUAAGCUAGGGCAUUAACUAGCCUAAUUUUAGGUAGAAAGAAAAAAACAACUCUUUGCUUUAGUGGUAAUAUGGACAAGCUGAACCUUCUUAAUGCUUUAUUAAAAUUACCAGCCAACUUAACAUAUUGCAGACGGAUCAUGAGAAUUUUCAUUUUUUUUGUUCUAAGGUUUGUGGCCAAUUACAAGACUUCUUUUAAAAGUGAUUAGCUUGUAAGAACAUGUAAUAAACAACUUCGAGAUGCAAUGGGUAUUUAAUUUUAAAGUGUACCUUUAACAUUUAUGUAAAAUGUUUUUUUGUACUCGUUCAGUAGAACCUUAUCUGGCCACUGGGUAAAGCUAGCAAUAAAACUACUGUGUUAAGAAUGUGAUUAUGAUGUGUUGUUCAAUUUUAUAUUUGUUGCAGUUAAAAAUGGAACCAUUUAGGUUUUAGGGGGAAAAACUCAAUAUAAACUAAAAAAAAAAAUUAUUCCAAAUGACUGACUGGUGCCCAUAUAGAUAAGCUUAAAAAUGAGUACAUGCUUGGUUUCAAAAAUAAAUUGAUGUCUAAAUCA